rnacentral:rRNA from 1 species
UCCUUCCGUAGGUGAACCUGCGGAAGGAUCAUUACCGAGUGAGGGCCCUCUGGGUCCAACCUCCCACCCGUGUUUAUUUUACCUUGUUGCUUCGGCGGGCCCGCCUUAACUGGCCGCCGGGGGGCUUACGCCCCCGGGCCCGCGCCCGCCGAAGACACCCUCGAACUCUGUCUGAAGAUUGUAGUCUGAGUGAAAAUAUAAAUUAUUUAAAACUUUCAACAACGGAUCUCUUGGUUCCGGCAUCGAUGAAGAACGCAGCGAAAUGCGAUACGUAAUGUGAAUUGCAAAUUCAGUGAAUCAUCGAGUCUUUGAACGCACAUUGCGCCCCCUGGUAUUCCGGGGGGCAUGCCUGUCCGAGCGGCAUUGCUGCCCUCAAGCACGGCUUGUGUGUUGGGCCCCGUCCUCCGAUCCCGGGGGACGGGCCCGAAAGGCAGCGGCGGCACCGCGUCCGGUCCUCGAGCGUAUGGGGCUUUGUCACCCGCUCUGUAGGCCCGGCCGGCGCUUGCCGAUCAACCCAAAUUUUUAUCCAGGUUGACCUCGGAUCAGUAAGGAUCCCAGGAUGCA